GCAAGUCGAGCGGACCACAAAGAAGCUUGCUUCUGAGUGGUUAGCGGCGGACGGGUGAGUAACACGUGGGCAACCUGCCCGUAAGACCGGGAUAACUUCGGGAAACCGGAGAUAAUACCGGAUAACACCGAAGAUCGCACGAUCUUUGGUUGAAAGGCGGCUUUUGCUGUCACUUAAGGAUGGGCCCGCGGCGCAUUAGGUAGUUGGUGAGGUAACGGCUCACCAAGGCGACGAUGCGUAGCCGACCUGAGAGGGGGAUC
rnacentral:rRNA from 1 species